UGGGGAAUAUUGGACAAUGGGCGAAAGCCUGAUCCAGCCAUGCCGCGUAUGUGAAGAAGGCCUUUUGGUUGUAAAGCACUUUAAGCGAGGAGGAGGCUACUUAGAUUAAUACUCUAGGAUAGUGGACGUUACUCGCAGAAUAAGCACCGGCUAACUCUGUGCCAGCAGCCGCGGUAAUACAGAGGGUGCGAGCGUUAAUCGGAUUUACUGGGCGUAAAGCGUGCGUAGGCGGCUUCUUAAGUCGGAUGUGAAAUCCCUGAGCUUAACUUAGGAAUUGCAUUCGAUACUGGGAAGCUAGAGUAUGGGAGAGGAUGGUAGAAUUCCAGGUGUAGCGGUGAAAUGCGUAGAGAUCUGGAGGAAUACCGAUGGCGAAGGCAGCCAUCUGGCCUAAUACUGACGCUGAGGUACGAAAGCAUGGGGAGCAAACAGG
rnacentral:rRNA from 1 species